rnacentral:rRNA from 1 species
GAUGAACGCUGGCGGCGUGCCUAAUACAUGCAAGUCGAGCGAACAGACGAGGAGCUUGCUCCUCUGACGUUAGCGGCGGACGGGUGAGUAACACGUGGAUAACCUACCUAUAAGACUGGGAUAACUUCGGGAAACCGGAGCUAAUACCGGAUAAUAUAUUGAACCGCAUGGUUCAAUAGUGAAAGACGGUUUUGCUGUCACUUAUAGAUGGAUCCGCGCCGCAUUAGCUAGUUGGUAAGGUAACGGCUUACCAAGGCAACGAUGCGUAGCCGACCUGAGAGGGUGAUCGGCCACACUGGAACUGAGACACGGUCCAAACUCCUACGGGAGGCAGCAGUAGGGAAUCUUCCGCAAUGGGCGAAAGCCUGACGGAGCAACGCCGCGUGAGUGAUGAAGGUCUUCGGAUCGUAAAACUCUGUUAUUAGGGAAGAACAAAUGUGUAAGUAACUAUGCACGUCUUGACGGUACCUAAGCAGAAAGCCACGGCUAACUACGU